AGGGCGCACGGUGAAUGCCUAGCACUAGGAGCCGAUGAAGGACGUGACAAACAACGAAAUGCUUCGGGGAGUCGUAAGUAGAUUAUGAUCCGGAGAUGUCCGAAUGGGGGAACCCAGUAACGAGAGUUACUAUCGUAUAUUGAAUACAUAGGUAUACGAAGGAAGACGCGGUGAACUGAAACAUCUCAGUAGCUGCAGGAAGAGAAAGAAAGAUCGAUUUCCCAAGUAGCGGCGAGCGAACAGGAAAGAGCCCAAACCAAUAAGCUUGCUUAUUGGGGUUGUAGGACUGCAAGAGAGUACAAGCAGGUAUAGUCGAAUAAGUUGGGAAACUUAGACAGAGAAGGUGAGAUCCCUGUAGACGAAAUAUCAACUUGACGAAGCAGGAUCCUGAGUACGGCGGGACACGUGAAACCCCGUCGGAAUCUGGGAGGACCAUCUCCCAAGGCUAAAUACUCCCUAGUGACCGAUAGUGAACCAGUACCGUGAGGGAAAGGUGAAAAGCACCCCGGGAGGGGAGUGAAAGAGAACCUGAAACCGUGUGCCUACAAGUAGUCAAAGCCCGUUAAAGGGUGAUGGCGUGCCUUUUGUAGAAUGAACCGGCGAGUUACGUUAUGAUGCGAGGUUAAGACGGAAAGGUCGGAGCCGGAGCGAAAGCGAGUCUGAAGAGGGCGAGAUAGUAUCAUGAUGUAGACCCGAAACCAAGUGACCUACCCAUGUCCAGGUUGAAGGUGUGGUAAAACGCACUGGAGGACCGAACCCACGUAUGUUAAAAAAAUGCGGGGAUGAGGUGUGGGUAGCGGUGAAAUUCCAAACGAACUUGGAGAUAGCUGGUUCUCUCCGAAAUAGCUUUAGGGCUAGCCUCGGGGGAAUGAUAAUGGAGGUAGAGCACUGUUUGGACUAGGGGCCCGUCAAGGGUUACUGAAUUCAGAUAAACUCCGAAUGCCAUGUAUCAAUUACCCGGGAGUCAGACUGCGAGUGAUAAGAUCCGUAGUCGAAAGGGAAACAGCCCAGAUCACCAGUUAAGGUCCCAAAAUCUAUGCUAAGUGGAAAAGGAAGUGGAGUCGCGCAGACAACUAGGAUGUUGGCUCAGAAGCAGCCACCAUUUAAAGAGUGCGUAAUAGCUCACUAGUCGAGUGGCGCUGCGCCGAAAAUGUACCGGGGCUAAGCAUAGUACCGAAACUGUGGAUGCAUGAUGAAAGUCAUGUGUGGUAGGAGAGCGUUCUAAGGGCGGAGAAGGUAGAUCGAGAGGACUACUGGAGCGCUUAGAAGUGAGAAUGCCGGUAUGAGUAGCGAGAGAUAAGUGAGAAUCUUAUCCACCGAAUGACUAAGGUUUCCUGGGGAAGGCUCGUCCUCCCAGGGUUAGUCGGGACCUAAGGCGAGGCCGAAAGGCGUAGUCGAUGGAUAACAGGUAGAGAUUCCUGUACUAAGAGUUAACGUUUGAGUAAUGGAGGGACGCAGGAGGAUAAGGAAAGCGUGCGGCUGGAUAUGCACGUCCAAGUGUCAAGUCUGAGGGUGAGUUAAAUGCUUAUCUUUGUCAGGACAAGAUAUGAUGGGGAGCGAAAUUAAGUAGCGAAGUUCCUGAUUUCACACUGCCAAGAAAAGCUUCUAGCGAGUUAACAAUUACCCGUACCGCAAACCGACACAGGUAGUCGAGGAGAGAAUCCUAAGGUGAGCGAGAGACUAUCGUUAAGGAACUCGGCAAAAUGACCCCGUAACUUCGGGAGAAGGGGUGCUGAUAGAGAUAUCAGCCGCAGUGAAUAGGCCCAAACAACUGUUUAUCAAAAACACAGGUCUCUGCAAAAUCGAAAGAUGACGUAUAGGGGCUGACGCCUGCCCGGUGCUGGAAGGUUAAGAGGAGAUCUUAGAUUCGUCGAAGGAUUGAAUUGAAGCCCCAGUAAACGGCGGCCGUAACUAUAACGGUCCUAAGGUAGCGAAAUUCCUUGUCGGGUAAGUUCCGACCCGCACGAAAGGCGUAAUGAUUUGGCACUGUCUCAACGAUAGACUCGGUGAAAUUAUAAUACCCGUGAAGAUGCGGGUUACCCGCGACAGGACGGAAAGACCCCAUGGAGCUUUACUGUAGCUUGAUAUUGAGUAUUUGUGAAACAUGUACAGGAUAGGUAGGAGCCGAAGAAGAGAGUACGCUAGUAUUCUUGGAGGCGCUGGUGGGAUACUACCCUUGUUUUAUGAAUCCUCUAACCUGCACCACUAAGCGUGGUGAGGGACAGUGUCUGGUGGGCAGUUUGACUGGGGCGGUCGCUCCUAAAGUGUAACGGAGGCGCUCAAAGGUUCUCUCAGAAUGGUUGGAAAUCAUUCGCAGAGUGUAAAGGUAUAAGAGAGCUUGACUGCGAGAGCGACAACUCGAGCAGGUAGGAAACUAGGACUUAGUGAUCUGGUGGUACCGCAUGGAAGGGCCAUCACUCAACGGAUAAAAGCUACCCUGGGAUAACAGGCUUAUCUCCCCCAAGAGUCCACAUCGACGGGAGGUUUGGCACCUCGAUGUCGGCUCGUCGCAUCCUGGGGCUGUAGUCGGUCCCAAGGGUUGGGCUGUUCGCCCAUUAAAGCGGCACGCGAGCUGGGUUCAGAACGUCGUGAGACAGUUCGGUCCCUAUCCGUCGCGGGCGUAGGAAAUUUGAGAGGAGCUGUCCUUAGUACGAGAGGACCGGGAUGGACAUACCGCUGGUGUACCAGUUGUUCUGCCAAGGGCAUCGCUGGGUAGCUAUGUAUGGAAGGGAUAAGCGCUGAAAGCAUCUAAGUGCGAAGCCCCCCUCGAGAUGAGAUUUCCCAUUCGU
rnacentral:rRNA from 1 species